rnacentral:rRNA from 1 species
UACGAAGGGGGCUAGCGUUGCUCGGAAUCACUGGGCGUAAAGCGCACGUAGGCGGCUUCUUAAGUCAGGGGUGAAAUCCUGGAGCUCAACUCCAGAACUGCCUUUGAUACUGGACAGUCGCGUCAGUCCGGGAGAGGUGAGUGGAACUGCGAGUGUAGAGGUGAAAUUCGUAGAUAUUCGCAAGAACACCAGUGGCGAAGGCGGCUCACUGGCCCGGUACUGACGCUGAGGUGCGAAAGCGUGGGGAGCAAACAGG